rnacentral:rRNA from 1 species
UACGAAGGGGGCUAGCGUUGCUCGGAAUCACUGGGCGUAAAGCGCACGUAGGCGGAUUGCUAAGUCAGGGGUGAAAUCCUGGAGCUCAACUCCAGAACUGCCUUUGAUACUGGCGAUCUCGAGUCCGGGAGAGGUGAGUGGAACUGCGAGUGUAGAGGUGAAAUUCGUAGAUAUUCGCAAGAACACCAGUGGCGAAGGCGGCUCACUGGCCCGGUCCUGACGCUGAGGUGCGAAAGCGUGGGGAGCAAACAGG